rnacentral:rRNA from 1 species
AUAGCGUAUAUUAAAGUUGUUGCGGUUAAAAAGCUCGUAGUUGGAUCUCAGUUCCAGACGGGUGGUCCGCCUACCGGUGGUUACUGCCUGUUCUGAACAGCCAGCCGGUUUCUCUUGAUGAUCUUCACCGGUUGUCUUGGGUGACCGGCAAGUUUACUUUGAAAAAAUUAGAGUGCUCAAAGCAGGCGUGACGCCUGAAUAAUGGUGCAUGGAAUAAUGGAAUAGGACCUCGGUUCUAUUUUGUUGGUUUUCGGAACACGAGGUAAUGAUUAAGAGGGACAGACGGGGGCAUUCGUAUUACGGUGUUAGAGGUGAAAUUCUUGGAUCGCCGUAAGACGAACUACUG